rnacentral:SRP_RNA from 1 species
GCGCGAGCCUCAUACGAUCAGCUCCUGUUUAAUCCUCCAGGGCGGAAACGCAGCAAAGGCAGACGGUUGUAGCGGUGCGAUAUGAGUAACUUGCCCUAU